UGGAGACACGCUCUUCUGGCCUUCCCGGCUUUCCUGAUGAGAGAAUCUUUCUCUCUCUUUUUUUUUCCUUUUCAUACAUGCACAAUUAGAGAAUCCUGAAUUAUCGUUUUUUUAUUUUUUUUUAUUUUUCGAAGAAAGAAAAUGCUUGUAAUGAAAUAAAAUAAAAUAAUAAUUUAUAAUAACAGUGACUCAAAAAGCCCAUACUUUUAAAAAUUUUUAAUUUAAAUUUAUUGAUUUCGAAUAUCAAUAACCCAUCUUCGAUUUGAUAUAAAGGGUUUUUGCUUAGGUGCUUAAUUUUCAAAAUUCGAGUGCAGUUCCUCCCUUUCACUCUAUCUCUAGAUUUCCUUUUUCUCCCUAGAUCGACCGGCUUUAGGGUUUCAUCUUCCUUCGAUCGUCUCUUUCUCUGGUUCGUUGCCUACUGUUACUGUGUUGGUUGUGUUAUCGUUGUCUGUAUGUUGUCUUAGAAGAGAUUUGGAUCUUUCUUUCAGAGAAGUACGGUGGAUGCUAUAGUACCUUAUUCAAAUUUGUGCACUUGUUUUGAGAUGCAAGUGAAUUUUGUAGUGUAAUUUGAAUAUGGGAUUGGUAGUGAGUUACGAGUGAAAUGUGUACUAAGUUUCAAGUGUUGCUAUUAUAUUUUAGUUAAUGUGCUUUGAUAUUAGAGUAGUUUGAAGGAUAAAUAGAGCUUUCGCUGUUCUGUAAUGUCGUGGUCUCUUUUGAUUAUGGUAGUGCUUAUAGAAUGAGAAGGAAUACAUUUUGAAGAAUGGAUGAUGAUAGAGAAAUUGAAAUGUUGCUUCCUGGUUGGAAUAAUCCAAUUGAAUCUCGCAUUUUUAUUUUUUCUUGCUUCCUUGCUGCUUUGAUUGGUAUUUUGACAAUAGCUUAUACGGCUUUCCAAUGGAGAAGAAACAUUAAUCUAAGUUGGAUGAAAGCUGUAGCUAGAUCAAAGAAAAACCCAAAGGCAAGGCACAAGGUUCCUGUAGCUCCACAUAAUUGGGUAUUAGAAUCUGUUUCUCGUGGAAAGAAUCUAAACUGCUGUGUAUGCUUGAAGCCCAUGUCUCCAUCCCAAACUCUUGGACCUGUUGCAGGAUCAGAUAGUUUUAUUCACCAUUGUAGCAUUUGUGGUGCGGCGGCUCACCUUAGCUGCUCUUCAAGCGCACACAAGGAUUGCAAGUCUGUAUCUAUGGUUGGAUUUGAUCAUGUGAUGCACCAAUGGACUGUUAGAUGGACAGAGAUAACAGAUCUACCUGAUGAAACUUCCUUUUGUAUUUUAUGUGAAGAGCCAUGUAGUGGUUCUUUUCUUAGUGGAUCCCCUAUAUGGUGCUGCUUGUGGUGUCAACGACUUGUACAUGUCGAUUGUCACAGUAGCAUGUCUAAUGAAUCUGGUGAUACUUGUGAUUUAGGUCAAUUUAGAAGGCUGAUUUUAUCACCACUUCAUGUUAAGGAAUUGAACUCAUCCAGUGGAUUUUUGAGCUCUAUCACACAUGGAGCAAAUGAGAUUGCUUCUUCAGUGCGUGCAAGUAUAAGAAGUCAGAGCAAGAAGUACAAGCAUGGCAAUGAAUCCUCUGUUGAUUCAGGUAACAGUGCUAGCACUUGUGAUGCAUCCGUUGAAAGCACAGAUGAUGCCCAUCCUAAAGUAAAUGGUUCUCACGGUAUGGAGGAAAGCUGUAAUGGUAGCUUGAAUGUGGGGAGCCCUCAACAUAGUGGAGUUGUGGAUAGGUUGGACUCAAAGCCUAGUUUAAAAAGAAGUGGUUCAAUUAAUCAAAAGGAUGAGUCUCAAAUAUUAGGAAUGAAACAGAAAUAUGAAAUAAUUGAUAUGCCUUCUGAUGCAAGACCGUUGUUAGUCUUUAUCAACAAGAAGAGUGGGGCUCAGCGUGGAGAUAAUCUGAGGCAACGCUUGAACUUUCUUUUGAAUCCUGCUCAGGUAUUUGAGUUGAGCUCAACACAGGGGCCAGAAGUAGGCCUUUUCUUUUUCAGGAAGGUGCCUCACUUUAGAGUUCUUGUGUGUGGGGGAGAUGGUACUGUUGGCUGGGUUUUAACUGCCAUAGAUAAGCAAAAUUUUGUUUCUCCUCCACCUGUUGCUAUCCUUCCUGCUGGAACUGGAAAUGAUCUGGCAAGAGUACUAUCCUGGGGAGGUGGUCUGGGCUCAGUCCAGAGACAAGGUGGCCUUUGCACAUUGUUACAUCACAUAGAGAAUGCUGCAGUAACCAUUCUUGAUCGAUGGAAGGUAGCUAUUGUGAAUCAUCAGAGGAAGCAACUUCAGCCACCUAAAUUUAUGAACAACUAUCUUGGAGUUGGGUGUGAUGCAAAGGUAGCAUUGGACAUCCACAAUCUGCGGGAAGAAAAUCCAGAGAAGUUUUAUAACCAGUUUAUGAACAAAGUUCUGUAUGCAAGAGAAGGUGCUAGGAGCAUAAUGGACAGGACAUUUGCAGACUUCCCGUGGCAAGUUAGAGUGGAAGUGGAUGGUGUUGACAUAGAGGUCCCGGAGGUUAGUUCAACAUUUAUCUCAACUAUUCGGAUGCAGAGGGUGUACUUGUUGCAAACAUCGGAAGCUAUAUGGGCGGUGUCGAUCUAUGGCAAAAUGAGGAUGAAUCAUAUGAUAACUUUGAUCCACAAUCUAUGCAUGAUAAGAUACUAGAGGUUGUUAGCAUAUCUGGAACAUGGCACCUUGGGAAGCUUCAGGUGGGGCUAUCUCGUGCUCGAAGGCUUGCACAGGGACAGUCAAUUAAGAUACAGCUUCUUGCUCCAUUGCCUGUACAAAUUGAUGGAGAGCCUUGGUUUCAGCAGCCAUGUACUUUGGCUGUAUCCCAUCAUGGGCAGGCUUUUAUGUUAAAGAGGGCAGCUGAGGAACCUCUAGGUCAUGCAGCUGCCAUAAUCACGGAUGUGCUUGAGAAUGCUGAAACCAACCAUGUAAUUAAUGCUUCACAGAAGCGAGCACUUCUUCAAGAAAUGGCACUUAGGCUGACUUAGAGGUCAUCAUCUCCAAUAGCCCUGUCAGGUAUUGUGAAUUUGGUUCGCUGCUUCCUUGUGAAAAUGUUGUGCGUUUUACGUAGCCGAUUAUAUCUCUUCAUAGGAAUAUAAUAUGUUUUUUUUUUAUUUUUUUUAUUUCUUAACUUGGUGCUUUUAGCUGAGGCAUGUUUGUAAAUGAACUCAAUUUAUAAUUCAUAGUUUUCCCCAUGUCGAAUAUCAAUAGAAAGGGGGAAAGUGAAAUUUUGGAUUUGUUGUUAAAGAAAAAUAUAGAAAUACGAUAGAGAAAAAUAGUUUUGGAUUUGUUUGUACUUCUGAUUCUGUAGAUCUUUGGCCUGAAUUUGAGAGUUCCAGUCGUCAAUGAGACUGAUCUGAACAGAUAAAGCAAAUAAAUAUUUUAUAUUAUAUUCACACAAGAAAA